rnacentral:rRNA from 1 species
CAGUAGCCGCGGUAAUACGUAGGGUGCAAGCGUUAAUCGGAAUUACUGGGCGUAAAGCGUGCGCAGGCGGUUUUAUAAGUCUGAUGUGAAAUCCCCGGGCUCAACCUGGGAACUGCAUUGGAGACUGUAAGGCUAGAGUGUGUCAGAGGGGGGUAGAAUUCCACGUGUAGCAGUGAAAUGCGUAGAUAUGUGGAGGAAUACCGAUGGCGAAGGCAGCCCCCUGGGAUAACACUGACGCUCAUGCACGAAAGCGUGGGGAGCGAACAGGAUUAGAUACCCCUGUAGUCCCUGUCUCUUAUAA